rnacentral:lncRNA from 1 species
AUGAAGAAUCAUGGAUGAUGGAAUGGCUAAGGGUUCUUCUCCACACAUGAAAUAUAUGCAACGUAAAUCAAUUUCCAGUUAUCAAUUCAAUAAGUUAUGAACCUCAAACACUCCAAGUUAAUUAGGUCUGCUUAAAUUAACCUUCAGAUUUCCCUAGGAUCAUUGAAUUGGAUGAAUAUGCAUCGCAAACAAAUUAUUCCUA